rnacentral:rRNA from 1 species
AUGGACGCACGCGCCGGCACCCCGCUCACCCCAUCCUAUAGCCGCGACCCCUCCACUACCGCCGCCGCAAACCCUAGCCCGGGUGGCGUUGGCCUUGCCUCCGCCGGAGCUCCUCCGACCAUCGGCCUCGCGCGCGGCCUCUUCAUGCCGCCGCGGAUGACCUCGGCGGCGGGUGGCGUCGCGCCGGCGCCGGCCCGAGCCGCCGCCGCCUCCUCAAAGCUCCCCAAUGCGGCGCGGCCAAAGAAGGGCAAGACAUCGGCGAAGAAAAACAAGGCGGCGGACGGCUCCGGCACCUCGAAGGCGAGGACGAUAGAUACAACAUUGCGCAAAACUUGUUCAAAGAAGAGGAGAGGACAACCAAGAAGGGGAAGAUCAAGAAAGGAAGGCAACAAACGCAAGCGAACAAUUAAGUUGGAUGAUGAUGAUGAGGAGGAUGAUGCAUCAAGUGAUGACGGCAAGAGAAGCCCCACACCCAACUCGGUUUCAUACUCGAAGCCAAAGCGACCGGAUGGGUGCAAGAAAGACAAAACCGAAAAGAAGAAGAGGAAAGGAGAUGAUGAGCUCAAAAAUGCUAUGGAAGCUAUUGUGAAGGCAAAAAAAGAAGCCAACGAGGUGAGGAAAAUGGCAAGGAACCAAGAUGCCGCGGCCGAGGAGAGGAGGUUGGCGCCCGAGGAGAGGAGGGUGGCGGCCGAGGAGAGGAAGGUGGCUUUGGAGGAGAGGAAGGUGAGCAAUGAGGAGCGAAUUAGAUUGUUGGAAUGGGAGAAGCACUUGUUCUUCUUGGACACAUCUAACCUCAAUGCGGUGCAAAAGGAGUAUGUCAAUCUUGCCCGUGAAGAAGUCUUGAUCCAAAAAAGAGCCAUGGUUCGUGCAAUGGGUGGCGGUGGCCUCGGCGCCAUGGGUGGCAUGGGUGGCUUCGGAGGCAUGGGUGCACCUCCGGCCGCCAUGGGCGGAAUGUCUUUCGAUGUGCCUCCUCGCACACAUUCCCAUGAAGAUGCCGUUGAAGAUCUUGCCAACACCGUCAGAGCUUCACGUGAUGCGGUGCGCGAUGAGGAGAGGGAGGAAGAUUCAUCUUCGGAGGCGGAAGAAUCUCCCGAGGCGGAGACGGGGCGCCAAGAUGAGGCCGAGCCAGGAGCAGCCAUGCAGCAGGGUGACCGGCUAGCUGGGACAAGGCCGAGCAGCGAGGCGGGGUGCGGCAGCGCCCUCCGGCCGCAUGGGGCGGGAGUAGGCGGUUAA